GUAGGUGGCAAGCGUUGUCCGGAAUUAUUGGGCGUAAAGCGCGCGCAGGCGGUUCUUUAAGUCUGAUGUGAAAGCCCACGGCUCAACCGUGGAGGGUCAUUGGAAACUGGAGAACUUGAGUAUAGAAGAGGAAAGCGGAAUUCCACGUGUAGCGGUGAAAUGCGUAGAGAUGUGGAGGAACACCAGUGGCGAAGGCGGCUUUCUGGUCUGUAACUGACGCUGAGGCGCGAAAGCGUGGGGAGCAAACAGGGAUUAGAUACCCUGGUAGUCCACGCCGUAAACGAUGAGUGCUAAGUGUUAGGGGGGUUUCCGCCCCCUUAGUGCUGCAGCUAACGCAUUAAGCACUCCGCCUGGGGAUACGGCCGCAAGGCUG
rnacentral:rRNA from 1 species